rnacentral:rRNA from 1 species
AACGAACGCUGGCGGCAUGCCUAACACAUGCAAGUCGAACGAUGCCUUCGGGCAUAGUGGCGCACGGGUGAGUAACGCGUGGGAACCUGCCCUGAGGUACGGAAUAACACCGGUAAACUGGAGCUAAUACCGGAUGAGUCACCUGGGACAAAGAUUUAUCGCCACGGGAUGGGCACGCGUAGGAUUAGCUUGUUGGUGGUGUAACGGCCUACCAAGGCUACGUUCCUUAGCUGGUCUGAGAGGAUGAUCAGCCACACUGGGACUGAGACACGGCCCAGACUACUACGGGAGGCAGCAGUGGGGAAUAUUGGAAAAUGGGCGCAAGCCUGAUCCAGCAAUGCCGGGUGAGUGAUGAAGGCCUUCGGGUUGUAAAGCUCUUUCGCACGCGACGAUGAUGACGGUAGCGGGAGAAGAAGCACCGGCUAACUUCGUG